rnacentral:miRNA from 1 species
UAACUGUGAAGUCGUCUAGUC